UUUAGACAAACAUAAUACUUGGGCUAAGGUUGACAUUAAUAAUUUUUCUCACAUUUUACCUCCUAAACACAAACAUCAUAUAUGUCCCUAAAAUAAAGAGCCUUAAAUACUACGAAAAGCACCUAUACCUAACCAAAUUAAAAUGACGGCUAUCUUUUAUCA
rfam:Beta vulgaris subsp. vulgaris chromosome 5, whole genome shotgun sequence.